GAUUGUUUACUGGUCCCCAACAGCUUCAACGAUGGCAGGCGGAAGUGGAAGAAUCUUCCUUUUCCUGGAGGACGUAUGGAAAUACAAGAUGAGGUUCUGCUGGCAGAUGAGUCUAUUCAAGAUUCAAAAGCUUUACUGCGAGCUUCUUUUCUCAGCCGAAUAUAAAAUGUGACAUUCUCAAAGAUAUCCUGGUUACUCUUUUCCAUACAAUGGAAGUAAAUAAGGACUCAUGAAGCAUACUGGAAGAACUGGGCAGACAUCUAAAGAUGUGGUUAGGAAACGGAAGUUGUUGAGCUGUGUUUUUAUCCCAUGUGGGCUAUGGGAUAAUAUUCUGAUGGUUAUAUGCACAUGUAAUAUCCAGUUUGUCUUCUCUUUUUUGUUUAAUCCAGAUAUAUAGUUUUGUCUAAAGAGAAAAUUAAAUGGCUCUAUAGUAGUAUAUCUGAGCACUUGUUUGAUUCUGAAGGUCAUAUGCGGUUUGGUUUGUAGGAUUUAAUGUACAUUAGCAUGUAAAUGACUUUGUGUUUGAUUGGUGUUGACAUAUGGUAAUGAAGCAUAAUAGAUUUGUGCAGUCUGAGCAUGUGUCUCAUUCACACUGAUAGAGUUUCUAUUUCAGUAUAUACUAGAACCUGGGGAUUACAUCCCAUGAUUUCUGUGCUUUCAUUUGUUGCUAUGAUACUGUAAGGUAUAUAAUUGUUUUAAUUUUUGCCCCUAAAAGUCACUUCUGUCUUAAAAAACAUUUUGCCUAAUUGUGUUGCAUGUUUUGGUUAGUGUUUUACCAUUCCUUUGAUUUAAAUGGGAUUUUCAAGACUAAUUUUGUCAGCAAUGACUGUGAUUUGAGAAUAAUCUCCAUUAAAUCAAAUAUUUUCCUAUACUUUACUAUUUUAUUAUAUUUAAUGCCAUCCAACAGAACAAAAAAACAAACAAAAUGUGACUGGUUGCUGUUCAUGUCUGUCCGCCCAAACGUCUGGUUAGUAUGGAAUGACAAAGCAAUAAUGUUGUUUUCUUCGGAAUAAAGUACGCAACUUUCCUGCCUCCUGAGACAACACCUUAUAUUUCACCAUUGGAUUUUAAAGGUGACUUUAAUCAGAUUUGCAUCCUUUAGACGGCAUUACCGACUCAUGAACACACUAAACCUGACUCACAAACACAUUGCUGGUGCACUAGUUAAGGUAGCGUGUUCACUGAAUUUGGGUUCAGGCGAUAUUGUAACGCCAAAAAUUUAGAGUUUAGUAGAGAGUGCUUGUUGAAGUUCACUCUCUAUGACGCCCAGAGACAUCAAACAUUCAGCGACAUUCUCCGCUAAAAAUAACCUUCACCUAGAGCGGCGCGCCGUGCUGAGUGAGGAUUUCAGAAAUGAAAGUCCACCUGGGGCCUGAGCCGUACACGACCGCACCAGCCCCGCGGACAUGCAAACAUGCAUCAUCAUCACAAUGAUUGUCCGGCCUGCAGCGUGUUUCACAGUGAGACGGAGCAGAGAUGGAAGUUAUCGUGAUGAUAAAGACCACCCCCAGCCCUUUUAAAGACAAAAGAGAGUUUAACGCCAUACAACUUGUGAGUACCGGGUAAAUUGUAUGAGUGCUUGUGAGGAAAAAACAAAUCACUAAAUUUGCCAAAUUUAAGUCGUUUAUUUGUUGAAUGUCUUAGAAAGAUAUUUAGAGUUUUGUGAGAGUGGCAGGACAGUACAUUUGUUUAGUUUUCGAUCCGUGGAAUAAUCUGUUCUAAAAGUGAGUCACAGCAAAUUUGCGCUAACUUUUUUCUGUACAGCUGCUCUGUUCUUUGGUGUAUCCUAAAUUUCAGAAGAAAAACUUCUUACAUCCACUAUGCUUUACAGAAAAAAUAAUGUUUUACACGUGUGAUCCCACACUGCAAAAACUAUUUUCUUACUUAGUAUUUUUUUGUCUUGUUUUAGAGUAGAAAUACUAAGCGUUCUUAAAUCAAGAUACUUGAUAAGCAACUUGACUUCUUUAAGUCUUGUUUUCUUAAAAAUGCAUCAAAAUCAAGUCCGUUUUUGCUUACAGGAACUACAUAAAUAAAUAUUUGCCAACAAGAUUGUUUUUCCUACCCCAUUGACAGAUUUGUUUCUUGUAAGCCAAACUUGAUAUAUUGUUAAUAUAUAUCUUUUUCAAGUGAAUGUAUACUGAUUUAAGAAUGUUUAGGUAUUUGUACUGAAAAGCGAGAUCAUUUUUUGCAGUACAUGUGGAAACCAUGUCACAGGUUUCACAUGUGACCCCGUUUUGCGCAUGUGAAUUUUUCAUGUGGCUUUACUCUAAGGGACAUAAAGUAAAGCCAACCUGUCAUUGGUUACUUUACAUGUCAAUCAAAUAGCCUUCCGAGUUUCUUCUUGUCUAAGCGGUUCUUGGACAGAAUACACUCAGUGUGGAGUCCUGUAGGACAGCGUGCUAUCAUUUGAGAGAACAGAAAGACGACCAUAUUGGAUUUAAUCUCAUUCUCCAUGCAGACAGCUAAAUCUGCACACGCUGAUAAGCAUGUUAAAUCCUUUAUUGAUAAGAGGCCAAUUAUAAAACCGCAGAGAGCAGAAGAUGCCAACAUCCCAACUGUUUCUGAGCAGUCCCGGUGUGAUCCUCCUGUCUCAUUAACAUGCAGUGAUGAUGAACGCCCCACUGCGCUCAGAUGAUCCGCACGCGGGCCAGAGAAAGUUCUUCCUGUUCUCAACACUGCCAGGUAGCAGGAUUACCACGGCUGGUUUAGCUCAGCUCAGACGCCAUGCCCACGGACCGCUGGCUGAACGUCUGAUGCAUACGCCACAGUAUAUAACCUAAUGCGAGUGUAUGGUGCGUUUUUGGUGUUGGUGUGGUUGCCAUAGAUGUUUGAAGCUAACUUUAUCUCCUCCCCCCUUCAGGUCUGAGGUUUAAUAGAAUGUUGCCCAAAUAUUACAGUAUGUCUGCAUUUAUGUCUUUUUAAAAUAAUAAUUUUCAGCCUCACAAUAUUCACAACAUGGAGCUUAGAACAGCAUCUUUUUUUACAAAGUUUCUUUUUUUAUCGGCAUCUCUUUUUAACACAGUAUCUUAGGACAAAUGUGCAAUUUUAUACUCUAUUGGAUGAAUAUAAUUAUUUUGAAUAAUUGGUAUAAUUUUCAGUAUAGAUCUUUUUGUAUCUACCGCCUAUUCUUAAAUGCCUUUUUUGUACACAAAUUGUGAAAAGCACUAAAGAAAUAAAACCAAAAUGAAUAUCAGCCAGGGCUUAUAGAAACAUAUUAAAUAAACACAAUAUAAACUAUCAUCACCAAUACAAUAUUGUGAGGCUGAAUAUAGAGAGGCCAAUAUAUGAUCCCAACAAAACCUUCCUCGAUUAACACACAGUGUAAAAUGUUCAGUAUAAUCACGGUGACUUUAACUAGUUUACAUUACGCAAGUCAUCCAAAAUAGGUCAUUGAUUUUAACUUAGUUUUUUAAGUUAGAGUAACUCAACGUUGGCCAAAAAUGUAAAAUAACCAUUUGAACCAAUUUGAUUGUGCUUAAAAAUGUAAGGCAGCAAAAAGCAUGCUUUAAAGUGCCAAAGAUGAUAUGAUGGGAAUCAACAGCCAGCAGAUUCAGUGUGUUUCCUACACACACUUUCUAGAAACAAGAAAUAAAAAAGCACAGUUCAG